ensembl:lncRNA
GGGUGUGACGGGCUCCGGGUGUAGGAGGUGAUCUUAGCUCUGACGGAGCCGGCUCGUCGCGCUGGCCGUUUAAACUGCCGCGUUAUUUGUCAGGCCGGUUCUUUUCCACUGGCGCCCCCUGGAAGCCGGUUCUCAAGCAUGGCUGUUCUUAAGGAAUAAUGGUGGCGGUGAUAGUGACCACAGGAGCUCUUCGUUCUCUGUCCGUCAUUGAGCACCUACUGUGUACAGGCUGCUCCUAACCAGCGAACAGGAACAGUGAAGUAGAAAGAAAGACCCGUCCAUCAUCCUGCAGACAAAGCAACCGUGACGACUAUUUUUGUAUUCACGAAGUCACGUAACAGAUUUUUUCUUUUUUACAAAGUAGCAAACUACUGGCGUUCUGUAUCCCCCUUUUCUGUUUUUCAUUUGACAUUUCCCGUAACAACUAUGUGACGGUAGAUUGAGUUGAUAAACCAUAGCUCAUAUAACCCUUCCCUUCCGGAAAAGCGUCUAGGCGGUUUUAGCACUUUGCUAUCACAGACACCUCUGUGUGUUUUUGUCCUUACAUUUUUAUCCGUUUCCUUAGUGGCAAUUCCCAGAAGUAGCCUUGCUGGGAUGGAGAGAAAUGAAAUGCUUAACACUCAGUGGUGUUUGCUAAGUUGCUUUCCAAAAGGGUAAACCGCGCACCCCCUCACCAGCAGAGCAUGAGAA